rnacentral:misc_RNA from 1 species
ACGGUCUUUCGGAGCUAGCCCCAGUCAACAGAAUCCUAGCAACGUCUUCGUGAGCUCUGGGCUUUCAAGACCGCCCUGGAGACGAAGCCGAGCACUUAACGAACCACGAAGCAACACUUUUAGCGCGCCUGCAUCGGGACUCGUCAGGCGUUCAGCUCACCGGGACAGGCGUCUCUUGGUACGUGUCGGGUAUGCGUCUGCUGCGACCCUGCUGCACGCUGCCUGCUCGCUUCGCGUACCUCAGGUUCGACGUCGACUUUGCGGUGCCCGUGAGACUUGAGCCUUAUCAAAUCCAAGCGCUCAUUCAAACAGCCUUGCGAAGCCUAUGUGGUCAGAUUGGAAGCGCGAACCUCUUGGUAGACUUGUUGGAGUGGGAGUCCAACGAAACUCGCUUACCCUAUGUGAACUGUAUUCAGCGCAUCGGGUCAGGUCUCUUGAGAACCGAGUCGGAAACUGCAGCGAUGGUAUGGGCAGCUCUAACCAUUCUAUCUUCCUUCGAUAAUAAAGCAUGCCGAGUUCUCGUGAAAGAGGCUGCGCAUUUCCCUCUGGCACUGAGCCCUGGAGCGUAAGCCACGACGCGUAUUGCGCAAAAUCGUCGGGCCGCUUCUCGGGAUGUUCCACCAGGCAUCCCUGGUGUACAGGAUGCUGACAACCAGACAACGCAUUCGCACAAGUAUACACGAUCAGCGAAUCAGCGGCUAGAUCGUGCUGCAGGAAGGCGUCGAGUUCUCGUGUCGCGUAGAACUGCACGCAGUUGACGCCACACACUGUCUGCGUCGAAGCAGCCCAUACCACUUACUGAAUGGCGUCGCGCUCGAUAUACCGUUUCUACCGGUGAAACAGGAAGGCACUAUACUGUAAUAACUAGAGCGCGGAUCCAUGAAGUGCGUUCUCUACAGAAAAUACCAUCGCGCGAGGCAUUUUCGUUGCGCUCCGGACAUGAAGGUAUUCCGUUCUUUCGAGAUAGCCUGGGUCCAGCCCUCGCAUCUAUAUGAUGGCCUCGCUUUGCAGGAGACACCAACUGGGUCUUGCUGGAGCUGUUCGGCCGCGGAAUUUCUCGUGCCGUUGCGUUGCUACACUGUUCGUGCGUCAUGCAUGAAACAUCCCGGGAAAGCUUGUUCCUCAAUGGAAUCAGGUCAAUGAAUAUAAGACCAAGCCCUGGAUCCUCUGUUGCGAUAAGCAGGCAUGCACGAGACCUCCGUUCCUCCAAGAGUAUGAUUAGGCUAGGGGUGCUAAAGCGACGAGCGAUCGAGGCAGUGUGCGAAUCUGGCGAACCCGGUGACACUGGCAUACAUUUCAGUGUUCGCGUUUGCUACACCAGCGUCGGAUCAAAGUGUUACACCGAAGUGCUCGCGCUAUGCCAGCCUUGAGCAGCUUCCUCGAAAUUUUGGUUGAUGUAUAGUCUCCAUAUUUGAAGUGGAAUCAUUCCUGGAUGAAACAUUUACGCCAAGGUCUAGGUUGCUCGACUGUCUGUUCGGAGUGAAACCUUCGACGCCUUGCUGCCCCUGAACUUUGGAAGGUCGUAGUUGACGGAAUGUAGCGGGAUUCGAA